rnacentral:rRNA from 1 species
UACGUAGGUGGCGAGCGUUGUCCGGAAUUAUUGGGCGUAAAGGGCGCGUAGGCGGGAAUAUAAGUCUGUCUUAAAAGUGCGGGGCUCAACCCCGUGAUGGGACAGAAACUAUAUUUCUUGAGUGCAGGAGAGGAAAGUGGAAUUCCCAGUGUAGCGGUGAAAUGCGUAGAUAUUGGGAGGAACACCAGUGGCGAAGGCGACUUUCUGGACUGUGUCUGACGCUGAGGCGCGAAAGCCAGGGGAGUGAACGGG